GAUGAACGCUGGCGGCGUGCCUAAUACAUGCAAGUCGAGCGAACGGACGAUAAUCUUUCUUCUCUUAUGUUAUCGGCUGUCGUGUGAGUAACACGUGUAUAACCUACCUAUAUUACUGGUAUAACUUCGUGAAACCUUAUCUAAUACCGGAUAAUAUUUUGAACCGCAUUGUUCAAAAGUGUAAUACGGUCUUGCUGUCACUUAUAGAUGUAUCCGCGCUGCAUUAGCUAGUUGUUAAGGUAACGGCUUACCAAGGCAACGAUGCAUAGCCGACCUGAGAGGGUGAUCGGCCACACUGGAACUGAGACACGGUCCAGACUCCUACGGGAGGCAGCAGUAGGGAAUAUUACGCAAUGGGCGAAAGCCUGACGGAGCAACGCCGCGUGAGUGAUGAAGGUCUUCGGAUCGUAAAACUCUGUUAUUAGGGAAGAACAUAUGUGUAAGUAAAUGUGCACGUCUUGACGGUAACUAAUCAGAAAGCAACGGCUAACUACGUG
rnacentral:rRNA from 1 species